rnacentral:tRNA from 1 species
AGGGGUGGCAGAGCCUGGUCGAAUGCACCGGUCUUGAAAACCGGCGGGCCUCGAGGUCAAAUCGACCCUA